CAUCCCAUAGCGAGUUCCUGUCGGUGGUGCUCUUGGAGGAGCACGGCGCGAUUACUUAUUAGUGCAGCGCGCUCUUACUGUUUAUUACAUUUAUCCAACUGUCAGGUGACUGCUUUAGAGGACGACGUAGGAUAAAAACCUGACCCAAAAUCUAGGACUGUGUCUAGUCAGUGAGGCCACAGCAUCCUUUUGCGGCCUUGAUCUGUGGAGGUGAAAAGAACAUGUGUAUGCCUGGGGAGAGUCCUGUGCUCCUCGUCCAUCACCACCUCCCUUGGUAACUGCUCCUGUCUGGGCCUUAGGUUUUACCUAAAUUUAAGGUUGAUCAUGAGUGUAUGGUAAGCGUUUAGGAUGUUGCUUCUGGGGGAC